AAAAGGCUGAGAGGAGCUCCAGGCCGAGACUGAGUUACAAUGUGGCAAUAGUCUUGCUGCUAAAUUUGGAGAUGCAUUAGUGUGGUUUGUUUCUAUGAGAAUGCAUUUAAUGUUGUUGUGACUGUACUUUAAUUAUGUGUUAAAGGUAUUUUUAAUGAUGCAGUGAUAACUUGUCAGUCUGAUUUCCUGAUGUAGGGAAAAAAGUAUAAACGUAAAGCUACCAUUGCUAUAUCUUGUAGCCAAGUCUCAUGUGCCAACUAAGAGUGGCUGACACAAUCCAUUACCCUUUGUCACAUCUCAGCAAUUCUUCCCAAACUUUGCCCUGUCGGCUGUCUGCCCCAAGUUGGUUGGCUGAUUGAAGAAUGCUAGCUGGAAUGGUACAGCUGCUUUCUUACAGUGACAUUAAAGGGAGAUGACUACUCGUGUCCCUACUUGUGACUACAAAGUGUUCAUAGUGUUUUAUGGUAGGUUUGUAACAUGAUGUAGUUAGCUAUGUUUGCAGGGUGCUAUUACUUGAUCCUUAUCUUGAAAUCAGCCUGUUAUGAUCAAAUUAUAUACUUUUGAAAAACCUUUGAUUUACUUGUAUUUCCUAGAAUAUGUCGGGAUAAUAUUGUCCAGACUCUUCCUGCCUUGGGAAUGUUGUGGUCUUUGAAGAACUGUUUUUGUGGCAACUUUUGGCAGAUGACGAUGAAAAAUGGGAGAAAAAAAGCUGUGACUUUUUUAUGCUUGCUAGUAUCUCUCUCCAAGAACUGGAAAGAAAGAUCAGUAAGUAGAAGGUCAAAGGAAAGGUGGUUGACUGCCUGCAAGUACCUCAACAAUUGAGGAUUUGUAAUCUCUCAGUUUAAUGUAUACCAAAGAAUUCACAUAAGAAAACAUGCACAAAUGCCAGAGCCACAGAAAAAUCUUGAACCGACAUUUGUACUUUUUGGACACAAAAUCAAUAAGAAAACUUGCAGGAAGUUGGUAUUUGUUGUUUUAGUUCUCCUAAAGCUGGCUAUUUGAGGCUUUUUAGCUUUGUUUUGUGCAGGUGUGAAGUUUGGGCAUAUGUGCAGGAUUAUGACUGCACAUGUCUGACAGUUCUUAACUACUGAUACAGCCACUGAAAAUUUUAGUAAGCUGUUACAGCUUUCAGGAAUGCUAAGUUGUUACAAGUGUCAUGAAAGUAACCACCUGAAAGGAAGAAAGAUUCCUUGUCAACGCAGUUGGGAGGAGAAUUGUCUAAAACACUUGACUUUUUGUUUCUGUAUUUGCAUGACUGCUGAUAAAACUGCAUUUCAGAGGUUGCAUUAAGAGAGUGUGGGUUCACUUAGACAAGCACUGAGAUAUUAGCAGAUGCAUGUAGUGAUUCUUUUUCCCCAUGCUGUCUGAAUGUUGGCUUGUUUUGGACUACUCCUCCUCUUGUAUUCUUGUGUUAUCCUUCUCUUCUGUUUUUAAUUUUAUUUUUUUUAUUCCCCCCCCCCAUAACUCCUAUGUCAUAUUCAGUAUGUGGGUGCUUCUGGAUUAGAUGUGACAUGAUAAGGCAGGCAGUUGUUUAAGAUUGGUCCUGCAUUUGUUCUAGAAACUAUGUAUAAGGAAUUAGCUUAGACUAAUAUUGGCAUACAGAAUCAUAAAAUCGUAGCAUGCUUUUGGUUGAUUGAGACCUUAAAGAUCAUCUAGUUCCAACUGCCCUGCCAAGGGCAGGUAUGCCACUUACUAGAUCAGGUUACUCAGAGCCCCAUCCAACCUGGCUUUGAACGCUUCCAGAGAUGGGGCACUCACAAUCUCUCCUUAUUGUAUGCUGUAUCCUUCCUUCUGUUGUAUCCUUCCUUUUGUGUAUCCUUAUUCAUAAUUUGUGUUUCUAAACAUAAGCUGUGGAGAGCAGCAAUGUAACCACUGCAUUCAGAAUGUGCAACUUGGGCCAGUCUGAAGAUUCAUUUUAUGAGCCUACCAGUUUUCUGUUCUUGGAGAUUAUGCCUUUCUUCUUAAAAAACCUAUUUUCCAAGUCAUAGUUUCAGGGGGAAAGGUCAUGUUUGGGCAGGAGGGAAGGGAUUCCUGGAGUGCAAAGUGGAUUGCAUCAGAAAGGAAGGGAAUUAAGGAGUGGAGAAUUUGUAAACGAGGAAAGCAAAGCAGUUGCUUCUUCCCUUCUACUGAAAUUGCUAAAAGGCUUUAGUAGAAACAGAAUCUCGAAAAGGAAACAGCUUUCACUAUCCAUGAAUUAACUCAGCUUAAAACCCACAUGACUUCUGAGGUUGCUCCACACAGGUUUGAUGCCUCUUGCAACCAUCUUUGUUAGUGCAAGUUCUUGGAAUUCAUUGCUUAAAAUCAGGCUGUUGGACUGUGGACUUCUGUAAUUCAUUAUUAUUACCUUACAGUGAGGGAUAAUGACAGUAUUAACUGUUGAGUGGUGAGCCAUGGGAAAGUAAAGACAGUUUAUUCAGAAGAAAAUAACUUCUUAAAACUGUGUGGGUUUACAUGCUUAUAUUACUAUAAAAUCGUUUAGGUUGGAAAAGACUUCUAAAAUUAUGUGGUCCAACCAUUAACCCAGCACUGCCACCAUCACCAAAACAUGUCUUUAAGUGCCACAUCUACACAUCUUUUAAAUACCUCCAGGGAUGGUGAUUCAACCUUUUCCCUGGCUGGCCUGAUCCAGUGCUUUACAACUCUUUCUGUGGAGAAAGUUUUCCAAACAUCCAAUCUAAACCUCCCCUGGUGCAACUUAGGCUGUGUCCUCUCAUCCUAUAGCUUGUUACUUGAGAGGUGAGACCACCCCCCACCUUGCUACAACCUCCUUUCAGGUAGUUGUAGAGACCAAAGAGUUCUCCGCUCAGCCUCCUUUCCAGGCUAAACAACCACAGCCCCCUCAGCUCCUCCCCUCAGCUCCUCCUUAUAAGACUUGUGCUCCAGACCCUUCACCAGCUUUGCUGCUCUUUGGAUGCUCUCUGGCACCUCAGUGUCUUUCUUGUAUGUUAUGCCCAUCUCACCUAUGAAAUUUCUAGCUCAUGAAAAGUAUUGCAGAUCACAUGUUUGGCCUCUUUAUCUUAUGGUGACAGUUUCAUGCUUUCAGGUUUUUUUGGAAAGAACAUUUUGACAGUUGCUUGUAUUGGCAAUGUUACUUUACACCAUUUAAAAUCAGUGUCUUUUUAGAUAUUUUUAGAAACAGGUCAGACAGAUUUGUGAUGCUUUUUUAGAAAAAUUAUGAAUAUAUAAUGUGUGUUGUGUGAAACACAGAGAAAAUGGGAUGACCUCUUUGGCAAUAUUCAGCUUGGAAACUUGUGCUUUAAUGUGAGGUUUAUAAUUUCCUUUGGUAUGAAUGUUCCAUAAAGAAAAGUAAGCUCUUUGUCUUCAUAAACACAUUAAGAAAAGCUUGACUGGAAUCAAGGUAAUUUCAGAUAAAUUACCCCUCUUGGAGUCUGUUCGCUCCUCUGCUGGAAAAAUAUAUAGGUGUCAUCUGUCAAGUACUGUGUUUCUUUUAUAUUAAACACAACUAGGCCUGCUGGGUGGUAAGUGGGAGGCUUAGAGUGGACAGGUUGAGAUUUAUUAUUUCUUUCAGACUGAUGGUUGUUGCUGUGUUUAAUUCAGCAUUCUUGAAUUUUCCAAAGACUUCACAUUUUACUGGAACGAGUAGAAGAUGGUGGAAGUUGUGGGUUUUCUAUAGUUCUAGAAAAUCAGGCCUUCAGUCUCAAGCUAGCACUUAUUAGUAUUUCUGAAUUCUAGUUUUAAUUUUUUAUUAAGUCAGAAAUUAGUAAAAAUUUGUUCUAUAGCUGACCAGUAAAAUGCAACAAAUAAAGCAUUUGCUAACUACCUUGCUGGCGUUAAUAUCCCCCACUUGAGAACUGAGAUUUUUUUCUUUGUUUUCUUUAUUUUUAUAGGGCUGCCUUCCAGUUACAGGUUUCAAGAGUUAUCUGCUUUCCAGAUCUGAAUGGAAUUCUUCUGCAUCAGGACAGUCAGUAACUUAUUCUUGGGAGAUGCAGAAAGUCAUGCUGUAGAUUCUUUUAGAAGUCUAAGGCCUUCUGCAGUUGUAGAUCCUUUUUCCUAUUUAAAUACCUGCCACCAGCUGAUGAAAUCAUACACUUCUGAAACCUUUGCCAAAAUUUGAUUUGUACAGUGUUGGUGGUAGAUAUGUUGAAUGGAGUUGGGAAUGUUAGGAUUUGGCACUGUGUUAAAAAUAGUAUUUUGAAAUAAAUUAUUUGCUGCACUGUAGGAAGGCUUAUUCAGAAACGAGCAUAAUGGGUUGGUGCUAACAUCCAUCUUGUCCAGUACUUUGAUCCUGACAGUUAUGAACAGCAAAGGCUACAGAGGAACUAAUUUUGGGGCUGGUGCCAUAAUCUCCAUUCUAUGUUGGCAAGAAGCCUAUUCUUGGUCUUCUAAAGAUUUGCUGAAGCUCUGAAGCAUAAAGGUUGCUAUCUUUUGAAGAAAAAUAAAACAAUUUUGAUUCCUCUGGUUGCGUUAUGAAAACAUCUGUUCCACAUAUUUGUAGACUCUUGUCUCAGUGACUUUCUAUAGCAGUGAGUUCUACUGACACUAUAUGGUGCUUUUUUUUUUCCUUUAAAAGGAAGUUAUUUUUAUUUUUCUUGACAGGAGGGACAGUUGUUCCUCAUCAGCCCUUUCAGUAUCAUUAUUUAAUUUCUCUGCAGUUAAUCUAAAUAUCUAGUAAGCUGUACUGUUUACAAAAAUUAAAGAGGGUUCUGUGUCCAGUUGAUUAUCAUGACAGACUGUGGGAAAAGCCUGAGUUUAACUGGCUUAAUCUUGUCUUAUGUAGGCAACUUGGGACAAUAGAUCAUUGCAGAAAGUUGUUUUACAGACAUCAUUUAAGCCGCUUAUAUUUUUGCAUACCCUCUUCAAAGUAAAUUUUGGUAAUAGCUGGCAGUAUGCCUUUGAAUCAAAACAUUGACAUUCACUAUUGUCAGUGAAUGUUCUCAGACUGUGUAUGAAUAGCCUGUGUACAUGGCUGAAAUGGUAGCAUCUUUUUACAAAUAAUUUCUGUUUAGAGCCAGUUGUUUCCUACAGAAAGAAAAAAAGGCAUUAUAAUUGUUUUGGUAAGCUAGUGUGCUUUUGCUUUGUCCUAUCUUACUUUUGCAUACAGUUAUCUAAACUACUUUUCAUAGGACUGUUCAGCAGAAAGCAGGUAUCACCUGAUUGAUACUUACAGCUGUUGGACUUCUGUAAGAAAUGUUAUUUUGUUUCUCCUGCAUGAUAUUUACAUUUUUGUGGGUUCGUUUGUUGUGGGGUUUUGUUCAUUUUUUAAUGCAAAGCAAAGCAAGUACUUUGAUUCCAUGCACUUGGUGAAAUGUGUGCUAAACUUGUGCUUUAUUCUUUCUUGUCAGGUUGUCCCUUGCUGUUGUACUUGAAGAGGUGACCAUUUGCUAUUUGUGUUCCUGACUUGUUUGGCUACUUCUGUUUAUUCCUCCCACUGUCAAAGAAUGCAACAAAGUUCUGUGUACACGGAAAGCAAAUGCUACAAGUAAUGCAGCCUGUUGACAGGAAGAUCAGUAAGUGGGAAAUAUGUGAUGAGAUGUUAGGCUCAAUAAAACUAUGAAAUGAA